GGGCUUGACAUCCCACGAACCUGCCUGAAAGGGCGGGGUGCCCGCAAGGGAGCGUGGAGACAGGUGGUGCAUGGCUGUCGUCAGCUCGUGUCGUGAGAUGUUGGGUUAAGUCCCGCAACGAGCGCAACCCUCACCCCUAGUUGCCACCGGGUAAUGCCGAGCACUCGAGGGGAACUGCCAGCGUCAAGCUGGAGGAAGGCGGGGAUGACGUCAAGUCAUCAUGCCCCUUACGCCCUGGGCUACACACGUGCUACAAUGGCCAGUACAAAGGGAUGCGAGACCGUAAGGUGGAGUUAAUCCCAAAAAGCUGGUCUAAGUUCAGAUUGCAGUCUGCAACUCGACUGCAUGAAGGAGGAAUCGCUAGUAAUCGCGCAUCAGCACGGCGCGGUGAAUACGUUCCCGGGCCUUGUACACACCGCCCGUCACACCACGAAAGCUGGCUGUACUCGAAGUCGCUGAGA
rnacentral:rRNA from 1 species